UAUUUUUUUAUUACUGUUUGAAUUUCUGUUCAAACAAGUUGUUGUUCAAUUAAUAUGCAUAACAGGUUAGAUUGAAGUUGGUGUUGAGUGUUGCAUCCUCAACAAAGCUCUUGAGUCCCUUGUUACAAUUUCAGAUGACGAUAAGAAAGCCCUGUUUUCGGUGGACUGACUUGAGUUUGUUCAACCAAUGGAGUGCAUGAGCUACUAAUUUAAAUGAGUUAUUGCAGAACCACUAUGAGAGCUGCAACUGUUGAAAUCCAUAUCAGUUCAGAAUGACCAAAAUAUCAAAAUGGGAACUCAGAACAAUAUAUUCACAGCUAGAUCAGCUUCUAUCAGGGAGUAAUUUUAAGUUCACAAGUUUAUGGAUUCAAUUCAAGAGAUGGAAGUCACACUUGGGAAAGCUAUAAGAUUGGGACAAGUUUAUGGGUUCACACAUGCUGCUGGAUAUUCUUCAGGCUUUGGUGGAUUGGGAGCCAUGAGGCACAUUAAAGUGUCCCUCCAACUUGCAGAUUUCGACACAUAAAGAUCAAAGUUGCUAAGGAACUGAACUUUUUUCAUCUUGUCACGAGAGUAGAACUCCAUCUUCAGUUUCUGCUGUUGCUCAUUGAAUUUUCUUACUCCUUCAAUCAUUUCAUCCAACACAUCUUGAGGUAUCCCAUGGUUAAUAACUUCGAAGAAUCCCCAUGACUCACAUGCUUCUCUGAUUUCGCCAACGAUCGUUUCAUCCAUAUUUUGAAGGUCCACAGUUGGUGCUUUGAACUGGGGGUAGCCUCCUGAGUGACCAUCUGACAUAAUAGAUGAUGAAUAAUCUUCAGGUGGCAUAACAAAGAUUUCAGGAAGAGUAGCAAUCCCAGCAUCAACAAGUCCUUUCACACCAGCCUUUGUGUCAUCAAAGUCUCUCAAUGCUUUUGCUCUGUCAUAAACCUCUUUACUCUCAGCUUCUGAAUUCUCUUCUUCUAGAUUGAAAUCCAUUUUUGUUAACUUAGAAGCCUCUUCCCUUGAACUUAUUCUGCUUUAAAUUGAUGUAGUUGUAUUUAGUUAAGUAAAAAUAAUAAUAUCUGUUGUAUGUGCUUAUGGAACGUACAGAGAAUUGUCAAUAUUGAUUCAAUUUGAAUAGAGAAAUUGGGAUAGUAAAGCUAUAUUGAUUCA